AGGUGUAUGAAGCACAUUAUCAACCUGACUCACGUUAGAAGAGUAAAAACCUCUCAGUAUGCAGAUGAUUUGUUAUUCCACAACUUUCUUGAUUUGUUGGGUACUGCUUGUGCACUCAACGAACGGCGUUGCUCAAAAUGACCCUUGCAAGUCCCAUGGUACACACGGAAACCAAUGUUCCUUGGCUGGGAAAUGGAGAAAUGAGUAUAAAUCACAAAUGACUAUCUUCUGUCAAAAUGCAACUAUCACCGGUCAAUACACUGAUAUCGCCGGAGAUCCUACCCAGACCUACCUUCUGGUGGGAAAAUAUAUCCCAGUGAACAACACAGAAUACAUCACUGGAUGGUCGGUGGCCUUCAAAAACGAAUUCCAUGAUGACAUGUCUGUCAAGAGCUGGAGCGGGGUAUUUUACGCUGCACAUGGAAAUAUAAAGACCCAUUGGGUCCACGCCAAAUACGUACAGCCAAAAGACUAUUGGAGAACCUUUUCCACAAAUCAAGAUACCUUUAGCAGAAUAAGUAGCGAUCCCUGCUUGCCAAAUUCUGCUGGCUGAAUGUCAUCCUGAUCUAUUAUAAAAAUGACAUUGCUUAAAGCUUGUGUGCCUAUAAUUAAAAUGAUCCAAAAAAUAAACGAA